GGUGGAGUUGAACUGUGAACUUUGUGGAUUUAGCUGGUGAGAAUGGUUUGAGCUUGAUCAAAUUGGCUGGUAUUUGGGGUCUGCUUAGCCGCAGGUCUUUGCCUUUCGGUGAAGAUGCGCGAUACACUUGUCAAGUGUUGCGCGCCUCAGAUAAACUCGGGCCGUCUCGCCAGUGCACUUCCGCAGAGUGGUCACCACGACCAGCAUCGCUGUCUGGCUGUUAUGGUUAAACCGGUCUUGCAUCGUCCAUGUGGCUUUGCUUGGUCGGGAUGGCAGGUAACUGGUUGACUUGCUCGCGGUUCGCCGUGGGUGUAUGUUUUCCGGUGUAAUAAGCUGACCACAUCAGUUCAGUGCAGUAUGUUGGAGACGGCGGCUUGUGGUGUGUGCGUGCGUGCCAGUCGGCUGGCGUAUCCGGGUUUGGUUAUUACGUUGCUUGUGUUUACAGGCCUGAUGAUAGCCCGGGUUCGUUCGGUUGGCGGUGGCGUGCGUUUCACUAUUCCAGGGCCAAAAGUCUGUGGUGUUGCGGUAGACUUUCCACCUGACCCGUCUUGAAACACGGAC
rnacentral:rRNA from 1 species